rnacentral:rRNA from 1 species
GACAGAGGCCCCAAGCGUUUAGGCGGAAUCACUGGGCUUAAAGCGUGUGUAGGCGGAUCGUUAAGUGUCUUGUGGAAAUCCCACGGCUCACCCGUGGAACUGCUGGGCAUACUGGCGAUCUUGGGCCAACUAGGGGCAGUCGGAACAAGCGGUGGAGCGGUGAAUGCGUAGAUAUCGCUUGGAACGCCGAAGGUGAAAACAGACUGCUGGGGUUGCGCCGACGCUGAGACACGAAGCCAGGGGAGCAAACGGG